rnacentral:rRNA from 1 species
AUACGUAGGGGGCGAGCGUUGUCCGGAAUGAUUGGGCGUAAAGGGCGCGUAGGCGGCGCGGUAAGUCUGGAGUGAAAGUCCUGCUUUCAAGGUGGGAAUUGCUUUGGAUACUGCCGCGCUUGAGUGCAGGAGAGGUUAUCGGAAUUCCCGGUGUAGCGGUGAAAUGCGUAGAGAUCGGGAGGAACACCAGUGGCGAAGGCGGGUAACUGGACUGCAACUGACGCUGAGGCGCGAAAGUGUGGGGAGCAAACAGGAUUAGAUACCCUGGUAGUCCACACUGUAAACGAUGAAUGCUAGGUGUAGGGGGUAUCGACCCCUCCUGUGCCGCAGUCAACACAAUAAGCAUUCCGCCUGGGGAGUACGGCCGCAAGGUUGAAACUCAAAUGAAUUGGCGGGG